GCAAACUUGGUCAUUUAGAGGAAGUAAAAGUCGUAACAAGGUUUCCGUAGGUGAACCUGCGGAAGGAUCAUCACUGAUUCUGGGGUGUGCUCGCGCCGUGGUCUUUGGGCCAUGGCGAGAGCCCCCCACCCACUCUUUUGUGCACUGUUUCUCACUUGUCCAGGGGAUGACGGGCGCUGGUUGUUUGUUGGUGGGGUGUGGCGCGUGCGUCGCCCUCACCGACAGCACCAGCGCGCGCGUCGUUCUCGGCUUACUACAAUCUUGAUGAAUGCUUUGUCUAAUGCGCACUUGACACAAUAACACACACAACUUUUAACAAUGGAUCUCUUGGCUCUCGCAUCGAUGAAGAACGCAGC
rnacentral:misc_RNA from 1 species